rnacentral:rRNA from 1 species
GACGAACGCUGGCGGCGUGCCUAAUACAUGCAAGUCGAACGCUUCUUUCCUCCCGAGUGCUUGCACUCAAUUGGAAAGAGGAGUGGCGGACGGGUGAGUAACACGUGGGUAACCUACCCAUCAGAGGGGGAUAACACUUGGAAACAGGUGCUAAUACCGCAUAACAGUUUAUGCCGCAUGGCAUAAGAGUGAAAGGCGCUUUCGGGUGUCGUUGAUGGAUGGACCCGCGGUGCACUAGCUAGUUGGUGAGGUAACGGCUCACCAAGGCCACGAUGCAUAGCCGACCUGAGAGGGUGAUCGGCCACACUGGGACUGAGACACGGCCCAGACUCCUACGGGAGGCAGCAGUAGGGAAUCUUCGGCAAUGGACGAAAGUCUGACCGAGCAACGCCGCGUGAGUGAAGAAGGUUUUCGGAUCGUAAAACUCUGUUGUUAGAGAAGAACAAGGACGUUAGUAACUGAACGUCCCCUGACGGUAUCUAACCAGAAAGCCACGGCUAACUACGUG